UAUUUCCCGAAGACUUUGAAUAGUAUCCAAUUCUUUCUUGGAGGAAAUACAACUUGUGGACGCCAGAGGUCACUACUGUACCAUAAAACACAUGCCUGUCAGUGGAAACAACAGCCUCUUCCAGGACAAUGAUGGUGUCUUGUUCUGACACCAUCUGUGAAGGGAGUGGGCUUUGAAGAAAAACUACAGUUUGAGAGGAAAGGAUACCUAGAGGGACUUAAUUUGUCAUCACAUCACCAGGAACAGCAUGAUAAGGAACCGGUUUUCUUUAUCUCAGAAGAAUCAUGCACUUCAAGUCUUGUGUGAUGGGGAGAUGGUAAUGAAUGGCUACACUGAUGAAGAGAACAACUGAGAACAGACGGAAGGCAACGUUUGAUGGCAAACUAUCUGGUCUUUGUCGGUUACAUUUACCUCUGUGUGAACAAGAUGCUCCACACAGGCAACACACCCUUCCCUGUUGGUGACAUGAGCUCUGCUCAUUGCCACUUACUUUCCUCUGUUUUGUGAAUGUCAGAGCUGGCCAGAAUGAACAGAUUUGUGAAUCUCAAGUUCCAAUCUAUGUUUAUUGGAGAGAAUCCCAUCGAAACCCACUCAGGGCGCUCCCUUCCUUCCCUUCUGCUAUUUACAUUUCCACAGACAUGCACAGAACAAUGUCGGUUAGGCACUCCUUCUCAGUGGCUGAGUGAUAUCUACUUCUGUAAGACGCAAUCUGCUGUUCCAUUCUUGAGAAAUGUGUUCCAUUUGCACCUUGGUUCAUCACCAACCAGAAACUGCUGUCUAGGGCAAGAGAAGAGUUACGAUUCGAAUCUUUCACAGUAUCAGGAACCAUCUUUCAAGUAAAUGACUUGAGUUAACAAACGAUCUAACUUCGAGGGCUGCUGUGAAAGAUGCCAGGAGAUAUGAUGGGAUGACGUCAUUAGUGAAGUAGACUUGGUUUCUGCUACAGGUAACAGGUCAUGUGAGGAGUGGUCUUCCCACCUUUGCUGUUGAGUGUUUAUUUUCUUUUCCAACUUGAAAAAGAGACCCCCGGAAGUGUUACUCAAACCAGUUCCCAGAGAGAAGGCAAAUCCCUUCCCAUCUGGGGAGGGGUGGGGUUCAGGAGCAAACAAGAGUCUCCAUUCCUGGGUUAAUGAAGGAAAAGUUUCUGAACAUGUUCUGGUCCAUGCUGUUGAUGAGUGCUCUGUCGGCGAAUGACAGCCGGGGUUUCUCACUUAGGAAUUCCUUGUCGAAAUUGCUGCAGUCAUAUGGUGAUUUCUUAGUCACAGUUUAAGGAGGAGAGAAAAAAAAAAAAGGGAAGAAAAUUAGCCACCAGGUUCAUUACCUUAACUUUGCUUAUGUAGGCUGUAGUGUGUGCACAACCAGUGGGUCCUAACCCCGAGUCAUCAGUUCUUUUUAUUAGAAUAAUUCAUUGCACACGAAAGAAUUACGUUGUACAGGUUUCAGUCACCCAGACUGUGACCAUGAAACUUUUAAGUGCUGCAUGCAAAACCCCAUCUCCUGACAGUCCCUUUUGAAAACAGAUGUUCAACUUGGGAAUGUUCUGCAAUUUAUUCUUCCCAUAGGUAAAUUUUUGAUGACACAGUUUAAAUCUGGCAGGCAACAGGAAUACCCCCCCCCCCAACCUCUCCUCUAGCUAAAUAGUGUGGAUUAAAGAAUCGCGUCCCCCUGCCAAGGGUGGGGUUGGGGCAGGUUUCAGGAACCGCUGUUACUUGAUUAGGGUGAUAGCCUGUGACAAAAGGAAAAGGGCUGAAGCCAGUCUGUUCAGUGGGGGAGACCUUACCACUUUUGGCCUGAAAGGUGGGUCAAUCUCUUUCCUCUCAAGUUCUUCCCAGUUGAUCUCUCGGAACAAAGGAUGCUGGCGGAUAUCUCCUUGCACGCCCAGCCUCUUUUCGGGUUCUCUCACAAAAAGCUGCAAGGAAGCAGAAAGGGAGUAGUUCACAUCCCCUGCAAUGAGGCAUUGAUAAGAUCAGGUGGGUAUACACUCACUUGGUGUGAGCAACUGGCUUUUUUUGCUGACCUCUGUGGAGAUGGAAUAGGUUCACAGUAACUUGAUACCUUCUCUGAGUGAACUGUUUUGCACUCUCCAUAGUCUGGCUUUGACCUCCUUCCUCUUUGCGCCAGGCGGGCCAUAACUGUGACUUAUAUAGGCCUGGCAUGAAAUCAGUUUUGCGUUGUGCUACUUACAUGGUCUCUGACAAUGCAUAGACUCUACGUGAGUUUCCUAACCUUUGCCAUACAGUGCUGGUUGCUCUUAAUUGUCAACUAGACACAACCUAGAUUCACCUGGGAAGAGGGAACCGCAAGUGGAGAGCUGCCUCUGUGACACUGGCCUAUGUCAGUGUCUGUGAGAGACUGAUGAUUGACGUGGGUGAGGCCAUCCUUGGGCAAACAGUCCUGGGCUAUAUAAGGAAGGAAAUUAAGCACGAGUCAGGGAGCAAGCCAGUAAGCAGCAUUCCUCCAUGGCUUCUGCUGCAGUUCUUGUGCGAGUACCAGUCCCCAUUUCCCUCAAUAGUGGACUGUCACCUUUAAGUUGAAAUAAACUUUUUCCUCCCCAA